AUGGCUUCUAAUGAAGGAGCAGAAGGCUCAGGUAUGCCUGGUGCGGGUAAUGGAAACUUAGUUGAUCCUUCGACGCAACAUGCUACACCAAUAUUUCAGGCUACCCUGACAUCUGAGGUUGCUACUCCAACAUCUCAAGUUACAUCCAGCAGAGCUGGUGGUAAGAGAAAGCGAACAUCGGCAGUAUGGAAUGAGAUGGAAGAGAAAAUAGAAAAUGGACAAUUGAAAGACGAGUGCAAUUAUUGUCACAAAAAAUUUACUGCAGGUCCAAGAGCUGGCACAAAUCACUUGCCUUUGCAUUUGGAAUCUUGUCCUGCUAGGCAUGCACCCAUAGGCCCAAAGCAACAAAAAUUAAGGCUGACAAAAGGUGAAGGUGGCAAAGUGAUUUUGGAAAGUGUCAUUUUUUACCAAGAGAAGGCUAGGAGAGAUCUUGGGUUGAUGAUAUGUGAACAUGAGUAUCCUUUAUCUAUCAUGGAACAUAGUGGUUUUCGUAGAUUUUGUUCUUCUCUACAGCCGUUGUUUAAGAUGGUGUGCAGAAAUACUAUUAGGAAUGAUAUUGUGGCUAUGCAUUCUGCCCAAAGGGAGAAGAUGGUGAAUUUUUUUGCAACAUUUAAACACCGAGUGGCUGUCACUACGGAUUUGUGGACAGCAGGCUAUCAAAAGAGAGGUUACAUGGCUGUUACCGCUCACUAUAUUGAUGAUACUUGGAAUCUAAAGAGCUUUCUUAUGAGGUUUGCUUAUGUGCCAUGUCCACAUUCAGCUGAGGUUAUAUGUGAAGCCUUGUAUGAGUGUCUUGUUGAGUGGCACCUUGAGCAGAAGAUCUCCAUUGUCACUUUGGACAACUACACAUCAAAUGACAAGGCUAUGGUUAUAUUGCCAGAUAAGUUGGAUACAAGCUCUCUCAUGUUGGAUGGUCAAUUAAUGCAUAUGCGUUGUGCAGCUCACAUAUUAAACUUAAUUGUGAAAGAUGGAAUGAGUGUCUUAGAGCAAGGGAUAGAGAGGUUGCGUGAUCGUGUUGCAUUUUGGUCAGCCACACCUAAAAGGCACUAG
rnacentral:rRNA from 1 species